CUUAAAUGGUUUGUCCAUGUGCAAUAGAAACCAAGAUCUGCACUGGUUGGGAGUGACUAGGUUCAAGCUGAAGGCUCUAAAAAGAGGAACAAAAAGGACAAAGGAUGUGGGUGGAGGCAAAGUGGAAUGGUGGAACAUGAUUCGUUAAGGUGCAAUUAGUUGAGAUAUGGCUAGAUGAUUUUAUUUUAUUUUUUUCAUUUUUGGGGGGGGGAUGCUAAAAAUGCUACAAAAGGAAUAAACAUUUACAUUAGGACACGUCAAUGACCAAGAUACCAAAUCCGCAUUGGCCUUUCUAAAGGCUCCAAUAGGAUUGCAGGACGGAUAUCGGAAACAAUUAUUGUGAAUACCCCGAAUGAGGCUCAGAUGAUGAUGA